rnacentral:rRNA from 1 species
AAACAGAUGCUAAUACCGGAUAACAACAGAUGAUGCCUAUCAAACUGUUUUAAAAAGAUGGUUCUGCUAUCACUCUUGGAUGGACCUGCGGUGCAUUAGCUAGUUGGUAGGGUAACGGCCUACCAAGGCGAUGAUGCAUAGCCCGAGUUGAGAGACUGAUCGGGCCACAUUGGGGACUGAGACACGGGCCCAAACUCCUACGGGGGGAGGGGCAGCAGUAGGGGGAAUCUUCCACAAUGGACGCAAGUCUGAUGGAGCAACGCCGCGUGAGUGAAGAAGGGUUUCGGCUCGUAAAGCUCUGUUGUUGGUGAAGAAGGACAGGGGUAGUAACUGACCUUUUGUUUGACGGUAAUCAAUUAGAAAGUCACGGCUAAACUACGUGCCAGCAGCCCGCGGUAAU